CNAGUGUAUAUACAGGGGAUUUAACCAACCUUUCACCUUAGGGUGAACAAUAUUGUUGAGCACUGAAACAUAUGAAGCCCAAUCAAAUCAAUUUGAUUAUAUGCUUUGAUAUCUUGGUUCAGAAUCAAAUUCAAUCAACCGUCGUACUGAAUUAUGUUAUAAAAUUCAUCUUUUACAGCAUUACAAAGGUCUCUUAAUCGAAGGUGCCCUAACACUUUGUAGGGGUAAUUAACAAUAAAUGCUUGCGUUUAUUGGAAGCCAUGAAUCCACAAAAUCUGAUUCUCAUACAUAUUCAAAUAUUAAUCUGAAUCAUGAAUACUACCCUACGGUAAAAAUCAAAAUAAGAUCAACCGUGCGAGGUAUGUCAUUCGUGGUGGCAGACAAUGACCUACACGGUCGGUAUACCUAGAGGGGUAGGAUUGUCGGCUAAUUGCUGACGGUUGGCUAUUGAGCAUAUCAGCAUUGAUCGCCCAACACUCGUAUGCAUUUUACAAACACCAGCGGUCUGAUCCACCACA
rnacentral:lncRNA from 1 species